AUGGUAGCCGAUGCGGCUUCCGCCGUCGGCCACGAAAGGGUUGUAGUGGUCGCCUUUCGGCCUGAUUUUCUGGCUGAUCUGCACGGGCCGGUCCGGCGACGCGACGUCGAAGAUCUCGAUGUGGCGGUACUGCGCCUCCUCUCGCGGCGUGGUCAUGGCGGCCUGCCUAGACUUCUGGCGGAUGGUGGCCACGGCCACCCUGGUCUCGCUGACGGCCGCCGGAGUCAUGGCGUCGAUGGCCUCGGGCGUCACCCGCACGGUCUCCUUGGUGGCGAUGUCGUACCGGAACACGGCCCAGUUCGUCGGGGACUCCCCGGUCCCACGGUGGAAGAAUAUGACGUUCUCGCUGCCCCACGUCGGCCAGCCGCCGUCCCGGAUGAGGAUCCUGCGGCGCAGGCCGCCCUGCGCCGCCUUGUCCACGUUCAUGAUGGCGAUGUCGGUGUUGAGGCGCUCGAUCUCGCCGGUCCACUUGUUCCCGCGGAAGUUGGCCACGGCCACCAUCUUGCCGGACGGCGACACGGCCGGGCUCACGUCGUACUGGCCUGGCGGGGUAAGGCGCUCGGUCUUGCCGUCGGCGAGGUUGGUCCUGUACACCACGGUCCAGGGCGUGCGGCGCUUCGUCACCGGCUCCUUGGUGGAGACGUACACGAGCGAGUGGCCAACGGUGCGAGCGCCCACCUUGAAGCCGCCGGCGAUGCAGCCGCUGUCCUCCAUCCGCGAGCCGCCGAAGGUGUCGGCGCCGUAGACGUCGCCCAGGCUCAGCACCUUCACCGCACCACCUUCGCCUUUGGGGCGCACAAGGGCCACGUGCAGCGUCUCGAGCCCCUUGUCCCUCUCGGAGACGAAGACGAGGCCGGUGACGCGGCCCUUCUCGGCGUCGUCCGGCGUGGCGCCGCACUCGGCGGCGAGCGCGGGGUUCUUCUUGCCAAGGAACGUGAGGAGCUCCUUGAGCGCGGCCGCCGGGAUGGACCGGCCGUUCUGGUUGUAGGAGACGCCGUCGGUGAGGUGCUGCUCGUCCUCCCGCGAGGACGGCGGCGGGUCGGCCGGGCAGGAGUAGAUGUCCAGUGGCACCGGCGGGCGGUAGGUCCCGAAGAAGGCGAUGCUGCCACGGCCGCUGUCGUCGCUCCCCAUGGCCGGCCGGCGCGGGGUCGAUCGAGCAAGAAUGAAACAACUUCUUUCAAUCGGUUCCUCUUUCUCUGGUUUCUGUUGCUUUGCUCACACCAGAAGAUGCUUGGUUUAUAA
rnacentral:rRNA from 1 species